AAAACCGAUACGCCGAGUUCCCAGGGCCUCAUGGUCCGGGAAGCGGGGGACCCAGGUAGUUGGGGCGAACCCACUCAGAUGAGUGAGAGCGCGACUCCUAGAGCGCUAGUCCGUCAGCUAACCCCGCAGGCACGAAAAGGAGAUCGG
rnacentral:sRNA from 2 species